rnacentral:tRNA from 1 species
UAAAAAUAUAUUUUAUGAAAAAUAAUGAAUUGCAAGUUCAUAGAAAUGUUAUAACAUUUUUUUUAA